rnacentral:lncRNA from 1 species
AAAACAAAUGCACAAUAUAUUAGUUCAUUGAAAUAGGGAAAGAUAAACCUUUUUAAACAUAAACCAAUAAAACCAAGAUGAGAAAUGAAUCUUAAAAUUAAAUAAAAGAUACAAAUCCGUGAACUUAUAUUGAAAAUACAUCAAAAAUAUAAAAUUAACAAAAAGAAAAAACAUGGGUUUACCUCCAAAAAAGGAUUGUAAAAACUUUUGAGGAAAUGUCAAGCACCUGAAAGCUGAGAAGUCGUGUCCAUCCUAAAAAACCUAAGCUGAUGACCUGAACACACAACGUAAGCAAAUUAAAAGGACGAUGAGGAAGGAAAGGGUUGUCUUUUGUUUCCCCAAUUUUUGCCUAUCUUUUGUUUUUCGGUCUUCCAAGUUUCUAGUGUACUUUUUUUUUCCCAGAUAUAGAGAAACAUGGAGAGUUAAGGGAAAAGGAAUGAAACCAAAAUUGGGAAAAAAAGCAAGAUUGAAAAACACAAGAGGAACUUUUAGAAACCCCAAAGUUAAAGGAGCAAGGAUGAUAGCAAGUUGAUGAUGGACAUGGAAAAGACAGUGCCGAAUAACCCAAACACAACCCCUAUUCAAGCCAUGCACGUGAGCGGCUGGUUCCAAAAUCUCGAUGACCCAAAAGACUUUCACGUCAGUCUAGAAAACGGAGGGACGUAAGGAAAGCAAACAUUCAC